GUAUUUUUCAAGUGUUUAUUUCCUCAAAAAGAUUUCCUGCUGAAUAUUUCUUAUUCCAUUAACUUUACUUUUAGAAGAUUCACUAUAUUGAUCUGCAUGGUUCUACUGCUUCGUAUAUUAUCUUAAAAUAGCAUUAAAGAUGGCAUUUUAUUUUCCUGUAAAUAUUCACCUCCUAUCUACCAGAUGCCAUUUGCUUCCCACCAAAUAUUUUGAUCCCAUCUUUAGCCUAUUGUUUCCUGGGUAAUCGAAAGUAGUAGGAGUCAGUUCAUUUGUCAAAGCUAGACACAUCUGAAAAAGAUGUUAGUACAAAAAGGGUGUAACUUCUUGUGCUGACUUGUGCAGCAAUAACAGGUUGUCGUGCCUUGCUCUGGAAAAAUGAGAACUUAUUUGUCAAAGCUAGACACAUCUGAAAAAGAUAUUAGUACAAAAAGGGUGUAACUUCUUGUGCUGACUUGUGCAGCAAUAAUAGUUGCUGAGCUUGUUCCGAUUCAAAAGGUACUGUAUGAGGUUGUGAUCAACACUAUGGCUAAAUAUGCAUGAUGAUAUCCAUUCACUACCUGCCGAUCCUCUGGGAGCGUUUACCAAAGCAGUUGACUGCGUUGAAAGUUCCCGUUCUCUUGCAAAGUGGCAGGUGCAGGACACUGUGUUGAAAGUCCCCAUAAAGUGGCAAGUUGUGUUCAUGUGAUGGUUUGGAAGACGUUCAUCACUUCAUCCGAUGGAAGCUAUGGAAAAUUUCUGAAGCCUAAUGUAAAUCUUAGCAGCCCAAGAAUCUGUAAGGGACUCUCACACCACAAAUGCAAUGCCCGUGACAACACAGUAAUCCUAUAAAGAGCAAGCAAAAGAAACAGAGUUCAAAAAAUCCUAUAAUAUG